GUUUUCCGGUAAGGUGUAGCGGUUAUCACGUCUGCCUAACACGCAGAAGGUCCCCGGUUCGAUCCCGGGCGGAAACA